AUACAUUCCUGACGGGGGAGGUGUGGCUAUCAAGAAGGUGGAGUCCCAGGGUGACUUAGCCAUUGCGUUUGGGCUAUGCUGAUCCGUGUAAUUUUUCCUAGUUCGGGAAACUUGGCUGCAUUAUUGUUGGUAGCUGAGGGCUGUGUUCCUGCUCUCUUCUG
ensembl:snRNA U1 U1 spliceosomal RNA